rnacentral:rRNA from 1 species
UGGGCGUAAAGGGCUCGCAGGCGGUUUCUUAAGUCUGAUGUGAAAGCCCCCGGCUCAACCGGGGAGGGUCAUUGGAAACUGGGGAACUUGAGUGCAGAAGAGGAGAGUGGAAUUCCACGUGUAGCGGUGAAAUGCGUAGAGAUGUGGAGGAACACCAGUGGCGAAGGCGACUCUCUGGUCUGUAACUGACGCUGAGGAGCGAAAGCGUGGGGAGCGAACAGGAUUAGAUACCCUGGUAGUCCACGCCGUAAACGAUGUGUGCUAAGUGUUA